AAAAAUGCCUUAUUACCUUAAAGAGAAAGCUGUGGCAUUGCAGUCUCUUAAAAUAACUAUAAUAUAUACAGUAAUUGCGUGAUGGAUUGGUUUUAGUGUGUUGAAUAAAGGCCAAGAAUUCCAAAUUGGCACUUGCAUCCAUUGAUUUUGCUGCAUGUGGCCUUCGAAGGAAAAAGUUUGGACACCGCUGCGUUCGCGGAACAGUCACUGUAACUGUUACAUCAGUGUAACAGUUGGAUUGGGAUUUUUCGCAAAUAGAUUAGUCAUGCCUAGAAAGUGGGGAGCGGGGUUGACAUGCUAAAGAGACAACUGUUACUGUUAUGAUGGUUACUUGUGACCUGAUACUUCAAUACUGCAGUGUGUGUGGACGUACUCCGGUUUCCUCCCACAUCCCAAAAACAUGCACGAACAUUUUGUGCUAACAAUGACUGGUAUUUGGAAAUGCCCAUCAUUUCCUCCACUUUGUGGAGGGCCCCAGUUCCAGCUGAAGAAAAGCAGUCCUUGAUGCAUGAUGCUGCCACCACCAUGCUUCACCAUAGGCAGCGCCCUCACUCCAGAAGCGUCAGCUCGGGUCAGCCCCAAGCUUUUGUGGCAGGACACUUCACAGUCAUGUGUCUGAGAUGCUUCCUUUCAACACACUUGCUGGCACAGGCCGUCAUGUGAUUUGUCUUUCUUGAAUUUGACUUCCUCUCGUCCAUUUCUGCUGUAAGAGACAGAGAAUUUUUACAGGGCAGUAGAAAGUCAAUCUUUUUGCCAGCGGGGAGCCUAUAUCAUAUGUUAGACUAUAUUUUGACCUUAUUUGUGAAAAUAUAGAUUGCGUAGGUGCAGUGCAUCGAAUACAUUUGUAUUAGACUGCCACCCUAUGUAAGGUUUAUGCCACAGCUGUAAAUAGUAAAGCACAGUGUUGUUUAUUAAUUAGAUGUCAAAUUAUAGUUAUUUACUUGCAUUCCUCAACAGAAAAAUCAUUUGUAGUGGUUUAAUGUUAUGCUUGAUUAAUUUCUGACUUCUCUGAGAGUCCCGGGGAGCCAAAGUUUAGUUCUACAAAGGUAAAUUUGAUUUGAAAUUUCAAAUUCACAAAAUCGCACAGAGCUCACUGAAACACUAAGAGUCCACAUUCAGGUACAGUACAUCAUGAUGCUGGAUGGUUUCUGAGACAAAUAGUCUAAUUUGUUAAAAGUUGUUGUUUUUAUUGCAAAAAAAAUACAAUCAACAACAUUUCUAAAUGCAAAAAAUGAGGAACAGAAAUCCUGAGAUUUUAAAUUUGGGGGAAUUUAACUUGCCUCUAAUAAAUUGCAUUGCAUCAUUGAUAAUCCUCAUCAUCUCGUCAUUGAGGUACGUGUUAAACAUGUUCGCCGUCCUCACUGGGACUACAAUCAUGCAAAUCAUUCAUUUCAUUCAGGAGAUGAGGUUCAUUCGUAUUCCCUCAAUUGAACACGCUUUUGGACCUGUGACUUAUCUCAAGAGGUGAAUGGCUACUCGUAGCCUCUGUGUACUAUUUCAGCCGGUUGUACCCGCUCUGUUUUCAGGCAAAAAUGUUUUCCAUUCCUGGGCCAAUGAAUACUACCUUUGUCCCUUCAUCCUCCAUCUUGUGUGAGAAAGCCCCCCUCGCUAGACUCACCAAGACUGCACAAACUUAACCUCUUCCCCCUACACCUCACACAGGAAAAGGAGGCUUUGAUUCAGGCCCCGUAAAAUGAGGACUGGGUGAAGAGUCGCUUUAGUGGCCGCAGUCAGUGUUGGACAUUUAGCUCAAGUAGCUGUUGCGUUACAUUCUGUUAGCACAAAGCAGUAGGUACUGGAUAACAAUCAAUAUCACACUACGUACGGCAUUUGGGCACAUUAUACUAUAUUUACUCAUUGUCAAACAGCUAGCAUUUGGUAUUAGUAGUUACCUCCCAUACCUACCCUCUCUGCCUCUCUGGUUACCUUAUUACCAACCUAUUGUUCAACAAUUAGCUUCUGACCUACCUAUUCACCUACCGCCUAGCCUCUUGAUUACCUUAACGCACCCGUCACUGAUAAUGUAGUGGUACACAAGGCUGGCUUUUGUAUCGUCCGCAUGUGGUCCAUUCCUGCUUAGUGACUGUCGCUGUUCACGCGAGUGCGAAUGGUUGUCUGCCUGUGAUUGACGGACACUCAGUCCAAUGUGUCGUCGGCCUU